AGGAUUCCAAUGAUCUGUUGUAACUAGCAAAGUCUGAUGUAGACCUUUGAUUUUUUAAAAUCUGUUUUUUGCAGCAGUCACCUUUUAAAAAAAAAAGAUAACACCAGUCAGUUGUGUGGUAUAUUUGUGCACUUGUGAGAAUAGACAAAAGCCUGUUUCUGGUGUGUUUUCUAUUAUCAGCUGGCUCUCUUUGUUUCCGGACCUAAUAGAAGAUGCUAGUUCUUACCAGGAAACUUGAAAUACUGUUUUGUCCUAUGCAAAGUUGUCUUUGGAAGAUCUGAGAUAGGCUCUACAAUAAAAUAAGAUACUGGGGUAUAGAAGCCCCUUCAUGCAAUAUUGCCUGAGUAUUUUGAAGGGUGUGAGAAAAUGAGACAACUAAAGUUCCAAGCCUCACCACGUUAAAAUUGACAAAUUACAGGCAGUCCCUGAGUUAUGAACAAGAUAGGUUCUGUAGGUUUGUCCUUAAGUUGAAUGUGUAUGUAAGUGUAAUUCUUGCCAAAUAUUAUAUUUUAGCUUUGGAUAGCAUAGAGAAGGGUUAACACCCCUGUGGUGCUUGUCUUGCUGCCUUUGCCCCUGUUCAGAAGAUUUCACCUCACCUUCUGUCCCUGUGAUCACUGGAUUUUGGGGAAAAAAUAGCUUGUUGUGGAAACAAGGAUUGGUGAAAAAGCUUCAGUGAAGUCUCCUUUUCCCCGUGAUUUUUCCAGGAGUGAAUUUCCCCUUCCUAGGGGUAGAUUCCUCACUUCCUGUUAUCUUAUCCCCGUUCUUAAAUAUGAGUCAUUAGUAAGUUGGAUGUUUGUAACUUGCAGACUGCCUGUAUAUGUUCUUAAGUAACUCAAUAUGGAAAUACUGAUCAAUGUACCUUGUCCCUAACCCAGUUGUCAUCUAAGACAGAGCUUUUCCAAACUGUGUUGCAAUACGUUCAGGUAUCAGCUGCAAUGUGUAGGUGUGCCACAAGAAACCUCGGGGUCUAUGUGCCAUAAGCAAUAAAUCAUAUAUUUUUAAAAAUAUAAAUGAAAGGUUUUUUGCUAUUACAAUUUAUGCAUAUGUCUGUAUCUCUUAUAUGGAGUUGGUUAAACUUCUGGUUUUGCUAGUAAAACUGAAUUACUGUGUUACAAACUAAUGUGUGUAUAAAAAUGGAGUGGCACCAAUGUAAUGUGUUUGGAAAUCUCUGAUCUAAGGGCUUAAGAGUGAUCAUUGAAACACCAGUAUAUAUUAAAAGUCACUUGCAAGCCAAUUAAUGUAUGUUCUAAAUCAGUGGUUCUCAAAAUGUGGGUCCCCAGAUGUUUUGGCCUACAACUCCCAGAAAUCCCAGCCAGUUUACCAGCUGUUAGGAUUACUGGGAGUUGAAGGCCAAAACAUCUGGGGACCAACAUGUUGAAAAACACUGACCUAGAUAAACUAGAACUAGAAUCCAGGUCACAGGUAAAUGAAUUCUGGGGAAAAUACAUACAUUAUUUUGGUUUAAGUGGUGAAAAACACCUAGAUGAAAUCUUGCUGAAUAGAAGAUACAACUCCAACUGCAUAGGUUCCGUCACUCAUUAGCCAUGUAGGUAGGAGUAACCCUAAGACACAUACAAAUAACUGAAUUGUGCAACUGCACAUGGCUCUUCAUACUCAUUGCUGUGGAAGUGUGCUGUCCUGCUUCUUAGUUUCCCAUAGACAUCUUUCCAGCAGUGAGAAGGGAUUGCUGGCUUAAAGAAAUCUAGCUACUGCAUUUACAUCAGUUGCAGUUUCCAGAUACUCUUCAAGGGCUGCACCACACAGCAUCAUAUAGUAAUCAAACUAGGAAAAGCUGCAUACUGGCAGAUUUUCACCCCAAUUCUUCAUUUUAAAUGAUACCUUUCCUUCUUCCACAUAUGUGAGUUGCCAUUGAACCUCCCUUCUACUACCUUUUUGAAAUACCACCAUUAUUAACAACAAAGCUUUUGAAAAACCACACUGCAAUGUCGGGGAGAAGGAUGGAUCUGAAGAUUCAUGUUCGAGUACAUGCCCACUUUAUGAUGACCCGUUUCCCUGCCAUUUCCUUACCUGAACCUAUGUGACGAGUGGUCACUAUUCAGCUUAAUGAUGAACUUAAAUCAGUAAAGGUGUUUUCUAAGAUGUAUGCUCAAGAAGCCUACUACACCUUAUUUUAACUGAGUAUUCCUUAUCGGAAAUGCUUGGAACCAGAAGUGUUUUCAAUUUGGAUUUUUUUCUUUCGGAUUUUGGAACACCUGUACCUGUAUUUGCAUACACAGAAUGAGAUUAUCUUGGAGAUGUGUUUCACUUAGCCUGCAGAUUAUUUUAUACAGUUUUAAAUAAUAUUAUGAAUGAACCAUUAUGUACCCCUUAUAAAGAAUCCCUUAAUUUUUACUCAAUAAAAGUGUCUCCCUGAGCUAGAAGAA